GGAGGUCACUGCCAGUAACAGAGAGGGAGAGGGGCAAUGCGGCAGGGAGGCUGGCAUGGUGCAGGCGUAGCGGUGGGAAUGUUGGAUUGGCUUUGCCACUGCGCCAACACCACAGUGACCUCUCUGCUGCCUUUCCUCUCUCCUUGUUGGUUACUGGCAGCAACUUA